AUUGAACGCUGGCGGCAUGCUUUACACAUGCAAGUCGAACGGUAACAGGCCUUCGGGUGCUGACGAGUGGCGAACGGGUGAGUAAUGCAUCGGAACGUACCCAGAGGUGGGGGAUAACGCAGCGAAAGCUGUGCUAAUACCGCAUGUGAUCUGAGGAUGAAAGCGGGGGACCGAGCAGCAAUGUUUGGCCUCGCGCCUUUGGAGCGGUCGAUGUCGGAUUAGCUAGUUGGUGGGGUAAAGGCCUACCAAGGCGACGAUCCGUAGCUGGUCUGAGAGGACGACCAGCCACACUGGAACUGAGACACGGCCCAGACUCCUACGGGAGGCAGCAGUGGGGAAUUUUGGACAAUGGGCGAAAGCCUGAUCCAGCAAUGCCGCGUGCGGGAAGAAGGCCUUCGGGUUGUAAACCGCUUUUGGCAGGAACGAAACGGUGUCCGCUAAUACCGGGCGCUAAUGACGGUACCUGCAGAAUAAGCACCGGCUAACUACGUG
rnacentral:rRNA from 1 species